GACCGAGUGCCGCUCACGCCCG
rnacentral:siRNA from 1 species